rnacentral:rRNA from 1 species
UGUGUAGGUGGUCAUAUUAGUCGAGCGUUAAAUCUCAGGGCUUAACCCUGAAAUCGCGUUCGAAACGGUACGACUUGAGAGCGUAAGAGGUGAAUGGAACUCAUGGUGUAGGGGUGAAAUCCGUUGAUAUCAUGGGGAACACCGAAAGCGAAAGCAAUUCACUGGUACGUUUCUGACACUCAAACACGAAAGCGUGGGUAGCGAACG